UGUGCGUGUGUAGUUCCCCAGCAGCUGUUGCUCGUGUGCAUGUGUGUAUUCGGAGGUGUGCAGCUCCCCAGCAGCUGUUGCAUGCGUGCUCAUGUCUCCGGUGGAGGCCCACCCCUUUCUGCCUGCACCGGAGCGGUGGCUGUGCAGGCAAGGAGAGCUCGGAGCUGGCUCCAUGAGAGAGGGACCUUCGCCUGUCACAUCCUUCCCAGCUGGGAGAAGCAGUGCCGGCUCUGGUCCCAGAGUCCUAUCAGCCGAGCCUGUGGCGAAUUAAUCACUUGCGUUUUAAAUGCCAAUACAGCCCUUUCUGCCUUCUUCCCCCAGUGAUGCGGAUGCGGCGAAGGCAGCAAAUCCUCCGGCUGUGUGUGCCCUCCCUGGACUGCUGCUCCGUCCCCGCCUGUCGUGCUCGCGUGCGUGCGUGGCUGGGAGUGCUGCCUAGGUGCAGCCGGGAAUGAGACAGCCGUGGGGCAGGGGACAGCACAGCUCCAGGGGGUGACACAAGGUGGGGGAUACUCCCCCCCCACACACAUCCACAGGGCUGCAAGUUGCUUGAAGACAGGGGUCUUUUGUGCCUCCAGUUCGUCUCUGUCAUGCCCCAUAUGGAAGCUGGGAGCAAUCGCCCCUCCAGAAGCAGAAGGCGAAGUGGUUCGCAAUGAAUCCAUGGCAGCUUCGAUCGAGCGGUGAGCUGGAGCACCUACUCACAGGCCACUCCUUGAUGUGACUGAAGAGAGGCCUUUCCCAGCACUCGCCGAGGAGAGCAGAGCCCUGGAUUUACCUCCUGCACACCCGGGCACCCCCACCACAGGCACCGCAAGGUUCCACCUGUUGAUGCCAGCAAGAAGGGCACAUCUUCCAGUGCAUCUCCCUGCUGCCACCGCGGGACCCUGCCAUCAGCGGUCCCGGUGUACUGCUCUCCAGCUGCCCCAACACUUCCCCAUCCACCCAAACUGCUGCCUUCAACUUCU